rnacentral:rRNA from 1 species
GAUCCUGGCUCAGGACGAACGCUGGCGGCGCGCCUAACACAUGCAAGUCGAACGAGCGAGAGAGAGCUUGCUUUCUCGAGCGAGUGGCGAACGGGUGAGUAACGCGUGAGGAACCUGCCUCAAAGAGGGGGACAACAGUUGGAAACGACUGCUAAUACCGCAUAAGCCCACGACCCGGCAUCGGGUAGAGGGAAAAGGAGCAAUCCGCUUUGAGAUGGCCGUCGCGUCCGAUUAGCUAGUUGGUGG